AUUCUUAUGUAGCGGCAAUAUCAUAGCUUACGAGGUUUAUCUGAGGUGCGAUCAUUACUAGUUGAAAACUUUACCAAAUAUCCUGUCUGGAUGACUUGAAAAAUAGUUAGCUGUGGCAAUUUUGGAGGGUCUUUGAGGAA